GAAUUGCCCUAGUAACGGCGAGUGAAGCGGCAACAGCUCAAAUUUGAAAUCUGGCGUCUUUGGCGUCCGAGUUGUAAUUUGCAGAGGGCGCUUUGGCAUUGGCAGCGGUCCAAGUUCCUUGGAACAGGACGUCACAGAGGGUGAGAAUCCCGUACGUGGUCGCUAGCCUUUACCGUGUAAAGCCCCUUCGACGAGUCGAGUUGUUUGGGAAUGCAGCUCUAAAUGGGAGGUAAAUUUCUUCUAAAGCUAAAUACUGGCCAGAGACCGAUAGCGCACAAGUAGAGUGAUCGAAAGAUGAAAAGCACUUUGGAAAGAGAGUUAAAAAGCACGUGAAAUUGUUGAAAGGGAAGCGCUUGCAGCCAGACUUGCCUGUAGUUGCUCAUCCGGGUUUUUACCCGGUGCACUCUUCUACGGGCAGGCCAGCAUCAGUUUGGGCGGUUGGAUAAAGGUCUCUGUCAUGUACCUCCUCUCGGGGAGAUCUUAUAGGGGAGACGACAUGCAACCAGCCUGGACUGAGGUCCGCGCAUCUGCUAGGAUGCUGGCGUAAUGGCUGUAAGCGGCCCGUCUUGAAACACGGACCAAGGAGUCUAACAUCUAUGCGAGUGUUUGGGUGUCAAGCCCGAACGCGUAAUGAAAGUGAACGGAGGUGGGAACCUUUCGGGGUGCACCAUCGACCGAUCCUGAUGUCUUCGGAUGGAUUUGAGUAAGAGCAUAGCUGUUGGGACCCGAAAGAUGGUGAACUAUGCUUGAAUAGGGUGAAGCCAGAGGAAACUCUGGUGGAGGCUCGCAGCGGUUCUGACGUGCAAAUCGAUCGUCAAAUUUGGGCAUAGGGGCGAAAGACUAAUCGAACUAUCUAGUAGCUGGUUCCUGCCG
rnacentral:rRNA from 1 species